rnacentral:rRNA from 1 species
UGUUCCUACGGGGCGCAGCAGUGAGGAAUAUUGGUCAAUGGGAGAGAUCCUGAACCAGCCAAGCCGCGUGAGGGAAGACGGCCCUAUGGGUUGUAAACCUCUUUUGUCGGAGAACAAAACCCGGGACGAGUCCCGGACUGCGUGUAUCCGAAGAAAAAGCAUCGGCUAACUCCGUGCCAGCAGCCGCGGUAAUACGGAAGGUCCGGGCGUUAUCCGGAUUUAUUGGGUUUAAAGGGAGCGUAGGCCGGUCUUUAAGCGUGCCGUGAAAUUUUGUGGCUCAACCAUGAGAGUGCGGCGCGAACUGG